rnacentral:rRNA from 1 species
AACCCCUCGCUGCCAGUGCAACGGGUAGAGCCGGGCACUCUGGCGGGACUGCCAUCGACAAGAUGGAGGAAGGUGGGGAGUGACGUCAAGUCAUCAUGGCCCUUAUGUCCAGGGCGACACACGUGCUACAAUGGCCGGCACAGCGGGAAGCGAGGCAGUGAUGCCGAGCGGAUCCCUUAAAGCCGGUCUCAGUUCGGAUUGAAGUCUGCAACUCGACUUCAUGAAGCUGGAAUCGCUAGUAAUCGCAGAUCAGCCAAGCUGCGGUGAAUACGUUACCCGGGCCUU